rnacentral:rRNA from 1 species
GAUGAACGCUGGCGGCGUGCUUAACACAUGCAAGUCGAACGAAGCAUUUAAGACAGAUUACUUCGGUUUGAAGUCUUUUAUGACUGAGUGGCGGACGGGUGAGUAACGCGUGGGUAACCUGCCUCAUACAGGGGGAUAGCAGCUGGAAACGGCUGGUAAUACCGCAUAAGCGCACGGUAUCGCAUGAUACAGUGUGAAAAACUCCGGUGGUAUGAGAUGGACCCGCGUCUGAUUAGCUGGUUGGUGAGGUAACGGCCCACCAAGGCGACGAUCAGUAGCCGACCUGAGAGGGUGACCGGCCACAUUGGGACUGAGACACGGCCCAGACUCCUACGGGAGGCAGCAGUGGGGGAUAUUGCACAAUGGGGGAAACCCUGAUGCAGCGACGCCGCGUGAGGGAAGACGGUCCUCUGGAUUGUAAACCUCUGUCUUCGGGGACGAAACGAGACGGUACCCGAGGAGGAAGCCACGGCUAACUACGUG